UACGUAGGGGGCUAGCGUUGUCCGGAAUCAUUGGGCGUAAAGAGCGCGUAGGCGGCCCGGUAAGUCCGUUGUAAAAGUCAAAGGCUCAACCUUUGAAUGUCAGUGGAUACUGCCGGGCUAGAGUCCGGAAGAGGCGAGUGGAAUUCCUGGUGUAGCGGUGGAAUGCGCAGAUAUCAGGAGGAACACCAACGGCGAAGGCAGCUCGCUAGGACGGUACUGACGCUGAGGCGCGAAAGCGUGGGGAGCGAACAGG
rnacentral:rRNA from 1 species